GCAUGGUUCGAAAUUGAAAGGCGGCUUCGGCUGUCACUUAUGGAUGGACCCGCGUCGCAUUAGCUAGUUGGUGAGGUAACGGCUCACCAAGGCAACGAUGCGUAGCCGACCUGAGAGGGUGAUCGGCCACACUGGGACUGAGACACGGCCCAGACUCCUACGGGAGGCAGCAGUAGGGAAUCUUCCGCAAUGGACGAAAGUCUGACGGAGCAACGCCGCGUGAGUGAUGAAGGCUUUCGGGUCGUAAAACUCUGUUGUUAGGGAAGAACAAGUGCUAGUUGAAUAAGCUGGCACCUUGACGGUACCUAACCAGAAAGCCACGGCUAACUACGUGCCAGCAGCCGCGGUAAUACGUAGGUGGCAAGCGUUAUCCGGAAUUAUUGGGCGUAAAGCGCGCGCAGGUGGUUUCUUAAGUCUGAUGUGAAAGCCCACGGCUCAACCGUGGAGGGUCAUUGGAAAGUGGGGAGACUUGAGUGCAGAAGAGGAAAGUGGAAUUUCCAUGUGUAGCGGUGAACUGCGUAGAGAUAUGGAGGAACACCAGUGGUGAAGGCGACUUUCUGGUCUGUAACUGACACUGAGGCGCGACAGCGUUGGGAGCAAACAGGAUUAGAUACCCUGGUAGUCCACGCCGUAAACGAUGAGUGCUAAGUGUUAGAGGGUUUCCGCCCUUUAGUGCUGAAGUUAACGCAUUAAGCACUCCGCCUGGGGAGUACGGCCGCAAGGCUGAAACUCAAAGGAAUUGACGGGGGCCCGCACCAGCGGUGGAGCAUGUGGUUUAUUUCGCAGCAACGCGAAGAACCUUACCAGGUCUUGACAUCCUCUGACAACCCUAGAGAUAGGGCUUCUCCUUCGGGAGCAGAGUGACAGGUGGUGCAUGGUUGUCGUCAGCUCGUGUCGUGAGAUGUUGGGUUAAGUCCCGCAACGAGCGCAACCCUUGAUCUUAGUUGCCAUCAUUAAGUUGGGCACUCUAAGGUGACUGCCGGUGACAAACCGGAGGAAGGUGGGGAUGACGUCAAAUCAUCAUGCCCCUUAUGACCUGGCCUACACACCUGCUACAAUGGACGGUACAAAGAGCUGC
rnacentral:rRNA from 1 species